GACGCUGUAAGGAUAAGGUCCCCUCUGUGCCUCACAGGAGCAUGAUAUGCAGCAGAGCAGGCCGACUGACUCUCCUGCUUCGGUUCGGGGGUAGCUGACGAGUGGAGAGGCUCCGCCUGUCUCCGAGCUGACUGCAGACAUCCAGCACCAUCGACGGGUUCAGAUGCACA